rnacentral:rRNA from 1 species
AGUUUAUUUAGUGGCCUUAGAUUGAAAACGCCGCGGAUGCUUUACACAUGCAAGUCGAACGGCAGCAUGUGACUUCGGCCCGGUGGCUAUGGGCGAAUGGUGAGUAAUGUAUCGGAACGUGCCUAGUAGCGGGGGAUAACUGGCGUGAAAGCGUAGCUAACACUGCAUAUUACGCCUCUUCGGGGAAAGCGGGGGACCUUCGGGCCUCGCACUAUUAGGAGCGGCUGAUAUCGGAUUAGCUAGUUGGUGGAGUGACGGCUCACCAAGGCGACGAUCCGUAGCUGGUUUGAGGAGGACGACCAGCCACACUGACUGGAGAGGCUCAGACUUACGCCGGAGCAGCAGGGGAAUUUUGGAUGAAUGGGGAAACCCCAUCCAGCCAUCCUCCCGCGUGUGCGAUGAAGGCCUUCGGGUUGUAAAGCACUUUUGGCAGGAAAGAAACGGCACGGGAUAAUACCCCGUGCAACUGACGGUACCUGCAGAAUAAGCACCGGCUAACCACGUGCCAGCAGCCGCGGUAAUACGUAGGGUGCAAGCGUUAAUCGGAAUUACUGGGCGUAAAGCGUGCGCAGGCGGUUCGGAAAGAAAGAUGUGAAAUCCCAGAGCUUAACUUUGGAACUGCAUUUUUAACUACCGAGCUAGAGUGUGUCAGAGGGAGGUGGAAUUCCGUGUAGCAGUGAAAUGCGUAGAUAUGCGGAGGAACACCGAUGGCGAAGGCAGCCUUCCUGGGAUGAACGAUGUCAACUAGCUGUUGGGGCCUUCGGGCCUUGGUAGCGCAGCUAACGCGUAGUUGACCGCCUGGGGAGUACGUCGCAAGAUUAAAACUCAGCGAAUUGACGGGGACCCGCACAAGCGGCGGUGGAUGAUGUGGAUUAAUUCGAUGCAACGCGAAAACCUUACCUACCCUUGAUAUGUCUGGAAUCCCGAAGAGAUUUGGGAGUGCUCGCAAGAGAACCGAACACAGGUGCUGCAUGUUGCCGUCAGCUCGUGUCGUGAGGUGUUGGGUUAAGUCCCGGGCAACGAGCGCAACCCUUUGUCAUUAGUUGCUACGAAAGGGCACUCUAAUGAGACUGCCGGUGACAAACCGAGGAAGGUGGGGAUGACGUCAAGUCCUCAUGGCCCUUAUGGGUAGGGUCACACGUCAUACAAUGGUCGGGACAGAGGGUCGCCAACCCGCGAGGGGGAGCCAAUCCCAGAAACCUGAUCGUAGUCCGGAUCGCAGUCUGCAACUCGGACUGGGUGAAGUCGGAAUCGCUAGUAAUCGCGGAUCAGCAUGUCGCGGUGAAUACGUUCCCGUCUUGUACACACCGCCCGUCACACCAUGGGAGUGGGUUUUACCAGAAGUAGUUAGCCUAACCGUAAGGAGGGCGAUUACCACGGUAGGAUUCAUGACUGGGGUGAAGUCGUAACAAGGUAG